AUUGAACGCUGGCGGCAGGCCUAACACAUGCAAGUCGAACGAGUGGCGGACGGGUGAGUAAUGUCUGGGAAACUGCCUGAUGGAGGGGGAUAACUACUGGAAACGGUAGCUAAUACCGCAUACCAUCGGAUGUGCCCAGAUGGGCUUAGCUAGUAGGUGGGGUAAAGGCUCACCUAGGCGACGAUCCCUCGCGGGUCUGAGAGGAUGACCAGCCACACUGGAACUGAGACACGGUCCAGACUCCUACGGGAGGCAGCAGUGGGGAAUAUUGCACAAUGGGCGAAAGCCUGAUGCAGCCAUGCCGCGGGUAUGAAGAAGGCCUUCGGGUUGUAAAGUACUUUCAGCGGGGAGGCGUGACCAGAAGAAGAAGCACCGGCUAACUCCGUGCCAGCAGCCGCGGUAAUUG
rnacentral:rRNA from 1 species